rnacentral:lncRNA from 1 species
CAGAGGGCAAGGAAAGCACACAACUGGCAGCAACAUACCUCAAGAUUUUCCUGACUCCUUGAAAUAACUUUACACUAUCCAAGGCUGGCACUUGGCACAGCCAAAGAGGCUCAUUGAUUGAACGAGCCUGAAUCUCCAGCUAGAUCUGGAUAACAAACCUCUUCUGUCUCCAGGCUGGACUUCCAACUUCUCUGAUUAUUUUCCAGGGCAUUCAUGGCACGUUGUAAGUCUUCAAUAAAUGCUUGAUGAAUGAAUGAAUGAAUGCUUUCGUAACAUCAUCAUCAUUUCCCAAACAUCAAGCUGAAAUUCAAUUGGCAGUUGAGUUAUCUCCAUUUAAAUCACUCUAAAGUUACUGAUCCCUGACACAAGAAAUGCACAGGAGAAUGGAGAGACACAUAGAUUUAAGGAAAAGAUGUCAACUGGGGAGGCGGAUAGUCAGGACUGCCAGUGUGUCAGUGCCUCCUGUCCCUGACUAUCCCCGGUACAGUCAUCACCCCCGACAAUGUGAAGGCAACUGCCCUACAACUCACAGAAGAAGAAGAAGAAGAAAGAAUGGCCAAUAAACGUGUGAAAAUAUAUCAAAUUCAUUAGUAAUCGGGCAAAUAAAACAUCAGUGACGUACCAUUUCAUAUCCAUCAGAUUGGCAAAAAUUUUGAAGUCUGAUGACACUAAGUAGGGGAAACAAGAACUUUCAGCCCCUGCUGGGGGACGUGUAAAUUAAUAGAACCACAUCAGAGAGCAACUUGUCAAUCUUGAAUGAAGUGGAAGAUUUAUGAUAUUCUAUGACCCAGAAAUUCUGCCUCUACGUAUAUCCCUAGAGAAACUCUCCCACAUGUAUUUCAAGGAUGUUAUUUGAAGUGUUGUGUUAUAAUAGGGAAAAAUUAGAAACAUAGGUGUACAUUAAUAAGAGAAUGGAUAAAUAAAUUCACAUAUAUUCAAACGAUGCCAUACUGUGUAGCAGUGAAGUCAAUAAACUUGAUAUAUCAACAUAGAUAGAUUCCAAAAACAAAAUGUUCAGCGAGAAAAGCAAGUUGGGGAUGAGAUGCCAUAUAGUAUGACAAC